CAAUAGGGAGUGGCAGACGGGUGAGUAACGCGUGGGAACGUGCCCUUUAGUACGGAAUAACGUCGGGAAACUGACGCUAAUACCGUAUACGCCCUUCGGGGGAAAGUUUCUUUCAGGGUUCAGUAACCAGAAACCAGAAACCAGAAAUUUUGCGUUUGCCUUCGGCAAACAAGUUUUAUCAAGUAAACUUGUGAGCGAAGCGAACACAAAGUUUCCAGUUUCCGGCUUCUGAUUUCUGAACCCCGGGAUUCGCUAAAGGAUCGGCCCGCGUAAGAUUAGGUAGUUGGUGAGGUAAUGGCUCACCAAGCCUACGAUCUUUAGCUGGUCUGAGAGGAUGAUCAGCCACACUGGAACUGAGACACGGUCCAGACUCCUACGGGAGGCAGCAGUGGGGAAUAUUGGACAAUGGGGGAAACCCUGAUCCAGCCAUGCCGCGUGAGUGAUAAGGCCUUAGGGUUGUAAAGCUCUUUCGCAGGCGAAGAUAAUGACGGUAACCUGAGAAGAAGCCCCGGCUAACUUCGUGCCAGCAGCCGCGGUAAUACGAAGGGGGCUAGCGUUGUUCGGAAUCACUGGGCGUAAAGCGCGCGUAGGCGGCUAUUCAAGUCAGAGGUGAAAUCCCGGGGCUUAACCCCGGAACUGCCUUUGAAACUGUAUAGCUGGAGACUCGGAGAGGAUAGUGGAAUUCCAAGUGUAGAGGUGAAAUUCGUAGAUACUUGGAGGAACACCGAUGGCGAAGGCAGCUAUCUGGACGAGCACUGACGCUGAGGCGCGAAAGCGUGGGGAUCAAACAGGAUUAGAUACCCUGGUAGUCCACGCCGUAAACGAUGGAUGCUAGCCGUUGGGCCCGUAGGGUUCAGUGGCGCAGCUAACGCGUUAAGCAUCCCGCCUGGGGAGUACGGUCGCAAGAUUAAAACUCAAAGGAAUUGACGGGGACCCGCACAAGCGGUGGAGCAUGUGGUUUAAUUCGAGGCAACGCGAAGAACCUUACCAGGCCUUGACAUGUCCAGUAUGGACUCCAGAGACGGAGUCCUUCAGUUUGGCUGGCUGGAACACAGGUGCUGCAUGGCUGUCGUCAGCUCGUGUCGUGAGAUGUUGGGUUAAGUCCCGCAACGAGCGCAACCCUCGUCCUUAGUUGCCAUCAUUCAGUUGGGAACUCUAAGGAAACCGCCAGCGUUAAGCUGGAGGAAGGUGGGGAUGACGUCAAGUCCUCAUGGCCCUUACGGCCUGGGCUACACACGUGCUACAAUGGCGGUGACAGUGGGCCGCGACCUGGCAACAGGUAGCUAAUCCCAAAAAACCGUCUCAGUUCGGAUUGUCCUCUGCAACUCGAGGGCAUGAAGUUGGAAUCGCUAGUAAUCGUAGAUCAGCACGCUACGGUGAAUACGUUCCCGGGUCUUGUACACACCGCCCGU
rnacentral:rRNA from 1 species